rnacentral:rRNA from 1 species
UCUGCUUGAUCCUGGCAGUUCUAUAUGCUACCAUCAAAGAUUAAGCCAUGCAUGUCUAAGUACAAGCUAAAAUGACAGUGAAACCGCGAAAGGCUCAUUAUAUCAGUCAUGGUUCAAUAGAUUGUACCCAGUUACAUGGAUAACUGCGGAAAUACUGGAGCUAAUACAUGCCAACAGAGUCCCGACCGGCGACGGAAGGGACGCUUUUAUUAGAUCAAAACCAAUCGGCGGCGCAAGCCGUCGUGAAUUUUGGUGACUCUGGAUAAAUUUGGCUGAUCGCACGGCCUCCGUGCCGGCGACGCAUCUUUCAAAUGUCUGCCUUAUCAACUGUCGAUGGUAGGUUCUGCGCCUACCAUGGUUGUAACGGGUAACGGGGGAUCAGGGUUCGAUCCCGGAGAGGGAGCCUGAGAAACGGCUACCACAUCCAAGGAAGGCAGCAGGCGCGCAAAUUACCCAUUCCCGGUUCGGGGAGGUAGUGACGAUAUAUAACGAUACAGGACUCAUCCGAGGCCCUGUAAUCGGAAUGACUACACUUUAAAUCCUUUAAGGAGUACCAAUUGGAGGGCAAGUCUGGUGCCAGCAGCCGCGGUAAUUCCAGCUCCAAUAGCGUAUGGAAAUGUUGCUGCGGUUAAAAAGCUCGUAGUUGGAUCUGUGUCCCGCACCGUUGGUUCACCGCCCGACGGUGUUCAACUGACGCGCUGCGGGACGUCCUGCCGGUGGGGCGUCAGCUGCCUCGUUUAACCGCGAGGUGGGCGGCUCCGAGUCAAUCCCGCACCGGUGCUCUUUAACGAGUGUCGAGGCGGGCCGGCACGUUUACUUUGAACAAAUUAGAGUGCUCAAAGCAGGCUCACUUACGCCUGAAUGGUAGUGCAUGGAAUAAUGGAAUAGGACUUCGGUUCUAUUUUGUUGGUUUUCGGAACCAGAAGUAAUGAUUAAUGGAGACAGGCGGGGGCAUUCGUAUUGCGGCGCUAGAGGUGAAAUUCUUGGACCGCCGCAAGACGAACUGAAGCGAAAGCAUUUGCCAAGGAUGUUCUCGUUGAUCAAGAACGAAAGUUAGAGGUUCGAAGGCGAUUAGAUACCGCCCUAGUUCUAACCAUCAACUGUGUCAGCCAGCGAUCCGCCUGCGUUAAUUUGAUGACCAGACGGGCAGCUUCCGGGAAACCAAAGCUUUUGGAUUCCGGGGGAAGUAUGGUUGCAAAGCUGAAACUUAAAGGAAUUGACGGAAGGGCACCACCAGGAGUGGAGCCUGCGGCUUAAUUUGACUCAACACGGGAAACCUCACCAGGCCCAGACACUGGAAGGAUUGACAGAUUGAAAGCUCUUUCUUGAUUCAGUGGGUGGUGGUGCAUGGCCGUUCUUAGUUGGUGGAGCGAUUUGUCUGGUUAAUUCCGAUAACGAACGAGACUCUAGCCUACUAAAUAGUCGUCCCGGCUUCCUCUGUGCAGCCGGCGAAGACAAAUCUUCUUAGAGGGACAGGCGGCUUUUAGCCGCACGAGAUUGAGCAAUAACAGGUCUGUGAUGCCCUUAGAUGUUCUGGGCCGCACGCGCGCUACAAUGGACGUUACAGCGUGUCCUCCCUGGCCGAGAGGUCCGGGUAACCCGCUGAACCACGUUCUUACUAGGGAUUGGGGCUUGAAAUUGUUCCCCAUGAACGAGGAAUUCCCAGUAAAGGCGUGUCAUCAGCACGCCUUGAUUACGUCCCUGCCCUUUGUACACACCGCCCGUCGCUACUACCGAUUGAAUGAUUUAGUGAGGUCUUCGGACUGGCGCGCGGAGGUCCUUCGGGUACCGCCGAUGUUGCCGGAAAGAUGACCGAACUUGAUCAUUUAGAGGAAGUAAAAGUCGUAACAAGGUUUCCGUAGGUGAACCUGCGGAAG